GACGAACGCGGGCGGCGUGCCUAAUACAUGCAAGUCGAACGCACGAAGUUGAAGAGCUUGCUCUUUAACCAAGUGAGUGGCGGACGGGUGAGUAACACGUGGGUAACCUGCCCAUUAGAGGGGGAUAACAUUCGGAAACGGAUGCUAAUACCGCAUAGUUUCAGGAAUCGCAUGAUUCUUGAAGGAAAGGUGGCUUCGGCUACCACUAAUGGAUGGACCCGCGGCGUAUUAGCUGGUUGGUGAGGUAAUGGCUCACCAAGGCAAUGAUACGUAGCCGACCUGAGAGGGUGAUCGGCCACACUGGGACUGAGACACGGCCCAGACUCCUACGGGAGGCAGCAGUAGGGAAUCUUCCGCAAUGGACGAAAGUCUGACGGAGCAACGCCGCGUGAGUGAAGAAGGUUUUCGGAUCGUAAAACUCUGUUGUUAAAGAAGAACAAGGAUGAGAGUAACUGCUCAUCCCCUGACGGUAUUUAACCAGAAAGCCACGGCUAACUACGUGCCAGCAGCCGCGGUAAUACGUAGGUGGCAAGCGUUGUCCGGAUUUAUUGGGCGUAAAGCGAGCGCAGGCGGUUCUUUAAGUCUGAUGUGAAAGCCCCCGGCUCAACCGGGGAGGGUCAUUGGAAACUGGAGAACUUGAGUGCAGAAGAGGAGAGUGGAAUUCCACGUGUAGCGGUGAAAUGCGUAGAUAUGUGGAGGAACACCAGUGGCGAAGGCGACUCUCUGGUCUGUAACUGACGCUGAGGCUCGAAAGCGUGGGGAGCAAACAGG
rnacentral:rRNA from 1 species